rnacentral:rRNA from 1 species
AUUGAACGCUGGCGGCAGGCCUAACACAUGCAAGUCGAACGGUAACAGGAAGAAGCUUGCUUCUUUGCUGACGAGUGGCGGACGGGUGAGUAAUGUCUGGGAAACUGCCUGAUGGAGGGGGAUAACUACUGGAAACGGUAGCUAAUACCGCAUAACGUCGCAAGACCAAAGAGGGGGACCUUCGGGCCUCUUGCCAUCGGAUGUGCCCAGAUGGGAUUAGCUAGUAGGUGGGGUAACGGCUCACCUAGGCGACGAUCCCUAGCUGGUCUGAGAGGAUGACCAGCCACACUGCAACUGAGACACGGUCCAGACUCCUACGGGAGGCAGCAGUGGGGAAUAUUGCACAAUGGGCGCAAGCCUGAUGCAGCCAUGCCGCGUGUAUGAAGAAGGCCUUCGGGUUGUAAAGUACUUUCAGCGGGGAGGAAGGGAGUAAAGUUAAUACCUUUGCUCAUUGACGUUACCCGCAGAAGAAGCACCGGCUAACUCCGUG